rnacentral:rRNA from 1 species
UACGUAGGUGGCAAGCGUUGUCCGGAAUUAUUGGGCGUAAAGCGCGCGCAGGCGGUUUCUUAAGUCUGAUGUGAAAGCCCCCGGCUCAACCGGGGAGGGUCAUUGGAAACUGGGAAACUUGAGUGCAGAAGAGGAAAGUGGAAUUCCAAGUGUAGCGAUGAAAUGCGUAGAGAUCGGGAAGAACACCAGUGGCGAAGGCGGUCUGCUGGGCCGUUGCUGACGCUGAGGCGCGACAGCGUGGGGAGCAAACAGG